rnacentral:misc_RNA from 1 species
UUAAAAAAGAAGUCUGUAUAUAUAUUUUAUUAUGCAUUGUACUUACUUCUAAUUCUAUUUUGUCAGUACCGAUAGGCAAGGGGUCCCUUGUAUAUAAAUUAUUUCUGCCAUCGAAUACGGGUUUAAGAGUUCCAAAUAUUUUACUAUAUGCAUGAACCAUUGUUUCUAUUAUUUCCCUAUUAACUUUACGAGGACAUUUAUCAGGUUGGAUAUUAAUAUCAUAAUGGUGCACAUAACCACGUGGCAUUGUUAUUUGGAAGUGAUUAGCUCUUAAGGUAAUUUGUCUGCCUUCACGUCCUAUGUUUGGUCUUCGAGGACAUGAAAACACUGCAAAUUUGGCAGUUCAGGAGGUUGAGGAGGAGUGUGUGUUUGUUGUGUGGAAACAAGUCCUAAAGAACCUGGAGCUACAACAUUACUGCCAGUUGCUCCAGAUGCACCAACAGAAGAACUUGUUGUGGGUCCAGGUGGAGGAGCUGAAAUAAUGUAGUAAACUAAUAUAUUUUUCAUACAUAUCUAAUGCAUGUAAAUGAAUAUAUAAAUAAUUAUUUCUAUAUAUUUAUCCUAACAGUUACAAAUACAUGUAACAAAAUAAU